rnacentral:snRNA from 13 species
GUACUUUACCUGGCAGGGGAGACACCAUGAGCAGACAGGUGAUUUUCCCAGGAAAAGUCUCAUUCCCUGCACUCUAGUUGUCCCAAUCUCUGCAGUUUUCCCAAAUGCUGAAAACUUGACUGCAUAAUUUCUGGGCAGGGCAUCUCAUUAGGGUCAGCACUCAC